ACAUUUAUUAAAAGAAUGAAAGGAAUAAUACGACAAACCAGAAUCCAAAACUAUGAAAUGCUUGUUGAGCAGGUAUACUAACUGAAAUCUGAAGGUCCAAGCUACUUGAUCUGGAACCUAAAAUGCCAUUUAACCCGAUCAAGCUGAGUUUAAGUUUUGAUACAUGAAAACAACAAGGCCAAAGUUUUGAUACAUGAAAACAACAAGGCCAAAGUUUUGAUCCAUGAGAACUACAAGUUCAAAGUUUUGACGAGUAAGAACUGAGUCCAAAUAUACACAAGGUUUAUUUUCCUUAGUCCAUGGCGCCUGGUUUUUCCCUUCAAUCUCUUGCUGCUUUCAAC
rnacentral:lncRNA from 1 species